rnacentral:rRNA from 1 species
GAUGAACGCUGGCGGCGUGCCUAAUACAUGCAAGUCGAGCGGACAGACGAGAAGCUUGCUUCUCUUAUGUUAGCGGCGGACGGGUGAGUAACGCGUGGAUAACCUACCUAUCAGCCUGGGAUAACUUCGGGAAACCGGAGCUAAUACCGGAUAAUAUUUUGAACCGCAUGGUUCAAGAGUGAAAGACGGUCUUGCUGUCACUUAAAGAUGUAUCAGCGCUGCGUUGGCUAGUUGGUAAGGUAACGGCUUACCAAGGCAACGAUGCAUAGCCGACCUGAGAGGGGGAUGGGCGACAGUGGAACUGUGACACGGUCCAGACUCCUACGGGAGGCACAAGUAGGGAAUCGUGGGCAAUGGGCGAAAGCUUGACGGAGCAGCGCCGGGUGAGUGAUGAAGGUCUUCGGAUGGGAAAACUCUGUUAUUGGGGAAGAACAUAUGUGUAAGUAACUGUGCACAUCUUGACGGUACCUAAUCAGAAAGCCACGGCUAACUACGUG